GCAAGUCGAACGCUUUGUGGUUCAACUGAUUUGAAGAGCUUGCUCAGAUAUGACGAUGGACAUUGCAAAGAGUGGCGAACGGGUGAGUAACACGUGGGAAACCUACCUCUUAGCAGGGGAUAACAUUUGGAAACAGAUGCUAAUACCGUAUAACAAUGACAACCGCAUGGUUGUUAUUUAAAAGAUGGUUCUGCUAUCACUAAGAGAUGGUCCCGCGGUGCAUUAGCUAGUUGGUAAGGGAAUGGGCUUACCAAGGCGAUGAUGCAUAGCCGAGUUGAGAGACUGAUCGGCCACAAUGGGACUGAGACACGGCCCAUACUCCUACGGGAGGCAGCAGUAGGGAAUCUUCCACAAUGGGCGAAAGCCUGAUGGAGCAACGCCGCGUGUGUGAUGAAGGGUUUCGGCUCGUAAAACACUGUUGUAAGAGAAGAAUGACAUUGAGAGUAACUGUUCAAUGUGUGACGGUAUCUUACCAGAAAGGAACGGCUAAAUACGUGCCAGCAGCCGCGGUAAUACGUAUGUUCCAAGCGUUAUCCGGAUUUAUUGGGCGUAAAGCGAGCGCAGACGGUUAUUUAAGUCUG
rnacentral:rRNA from 1 species